AUGUUUACAAUUCCAUUUAUUUACAUUUAUUUGUUUAACAGAAGGGGGGCACGGUUGGGCAACAGGUUUGGCUGGGACCUGCUCUCUGGUGUGUCUAGGGUUCGAGUCCUGCUUGGGGUGCUUUGCAGCGGACUGGCGUCCCGUCCGGGGUGUGUCCCCUCCCCCUCCAGGAUUGAACCCUGUGUUGCCGGACCCUACCCAUCCCGGGCAUCACAUCCUCCCUCCCUCCAAUUGGAACUUGGGCAACAAGGCAUGAAAAUAUCUUUGUCCCUCAAAGUGUCCUUCCUGCAUAUCAACACUUAAAUGGACCUUAAGAUACUGUUGGUUGGUCCUGCUCCUAAACUAACAGAAUACAGUUAAGGCUUUGCACUGUUAACACAGUAUAUAUCCUAAAGUAAUGUAUUUAUUAAUGUGCCUCUUUUUACGCCUAUUUAUAUUUCAUACCGCUGCCAUUUCCAUUUCUAUUCUUGUAGAACUUUGAUAUGCUCCUACAGACCCUUGAAAAUUUACUGCAUUUUUUUCAGUUGCUUUAUACUUACUGUGUUAAUGGUGUGUAAUGCCUGGAAUAUUUGUUGUCCUUGCGUUAAAUGUAAUUGUGUGAGCGCCCACCAUGUCAACCUCCUUCCUUGGGCAAUAAUGUGAUAAUUAUUACAAGCAUGUUUUUUUUUUUUUCUUCAUGCUUAAUUUCCCUAUUACAGUUUUAAGAUUGCAUGUUAAAUUUUACACUGUAUGUGUAAUGUUUGUGAAAUUUACAUGCAUUAAAUCACACUUAAUCCAUUGAAACAGAGUUUGCAAGCCACAUUUGCGCAUCAGGAAAAAGCCCUUUUUUUUUUUUUUUUGCUGUGUGUUCGCCGAGCAUGAUGGGUACUCUGCGGGAUUGGCAUCUUUUGUUACAGCCUCAGUGGGGUCCCCACUCUCAGCCCCACUUGCAUUAUGCACCAGGAAGCACUCUGCGCAGUCAUGUGGACGGGAACUCUGCGAUCUAAUGGCGUCUAAUGGGAUUCUUGUCCUGCAGUCAUUGCCUCUCGUCUCUGGCCGUCUCUGCGGAAGGGAAAUGGACUUGGAGGACCCAGGGGUUUUGCUACAACAUGAACCUCACGUCCCGUGACAAAGCCAAGACCCUUCAGAUCUGGCUGAAUACAAUCCUUGAAGGAAGACAUUUAAUGAUAAAAAGAGACUCAUGAAUGAUGGUAUGCUCACAUGCUCAUUACGAAGUGAAGGUACUGUUCUGAACAUAUAGAGGCUCCUUUGGAUGUCGAAUAGUCUAGUAUUUAGAAAUGUAUCUCCUGUUAGUAUCUCCCUC
rnacentral:lncRNA from 1 species